AACGGCCAUACCAUGUUGAAUAUGCCGGUUCUCGUUAGAUCACCGAAGUCAAGCAUCAUUGGGCGCGGUCAGUACUUGGGCGGGUGACCACCUGGGAACACCGCGUGCCGUU
rnacentral:rRNA from 1 species